GGGAGCCUCUCAUUAACAUUCUUACAUCAGGGCUCCUCCCCGCACCCCUACUCUUCCCACCCCUCCCCUGUCCCUAACUCCCACUCCCCGUCAGACCUCGGCCUUUUCCUUAAAGCCGCAGUCGCCCACGUCUGCACCAGCAGGAGCCCCCACCGCUCCACACUGCCACCAGGGUCCCCGCCACUCCCUUGCCCCGCGUGCGACAGCCCUCUCUUCAGCUCCGGGCUUUAAAAAUGGAAAUGUGCUUGAAAGUAAAGAAACGCGUGCAGGAACACACAUAACGUGCAAAAAAAAAAAAAAAAAAUAGAGGAAUGGGGUGGUCCUAGAAAUUAGUGGUUUCGUUGCAAAAAAAAAAAAAAAACCUAGGUCCCGCAAGCUCUCAACUCUUUCUCACUCCAGCCACACUCCCUCCCGAAGCGACUCGGGGCGGGCAGUCGACCUUCCCAGCCCCCUGGCUCAAGGUCAGGGAACAGGGACCAAGGCAAUGAUGCAGACGUCUAGGUCGCGGACCUGGAACGCCUCGCUAGUCCCGGAGUCCUCCCCCGCCCCCCGCCGGCCUCCUCCCCCUGGGCAGCCCGGGUUCGCGCCGGAGACGAAGUGCUGCGGCACAUCCAGCGUUCCCCACGCACCCAGUGUUCCCCGCGCACCGAACACCUCCGCUGGCGCGCUUCGAGCAGAAAAGCGAAACUUGUUGCUCCCAGAGGCAAGAGAACAGUUUUUCUCCUGGAGGUGGCAGAAGGCUUGAAAAGCAUCUCCAAGGCAUCCUUGGGCUUUGUUUGCUAAACAAGGUUCUCCAAGGCCGAGAAAGGUCCUGCGUCCGAGACCCAGUCAUGCCACCGGUCCCAGCCACAGCAGUGUUGGAGACGAGGAUGGAAACGGCCUUGAAGAAGUCAGUGACCAGAAGAGCCUCGCCGGAGUGCGCUGCGCUGCAGGGCAGGACCUAGAGGAACUUGACCCUCUGAACCUGGUUAACAUUUCACCGAGGUCAUUUGCAAUGUGAACCUGCUACUUUGGAAGGGUGAAUUCUACCACUUAAGUCCCGCGAAUUAAAAUAAAUUGAAAGUA